UAUAUAUAGAUGUGUACUCGGAGAGC
rnacentral:piRNA from 1 species